CCUACGGUAGGCAGCAGUGGGGGAUAUUGCACAAUGGGGGAAACCCUGAUGCAGCGACGCCGCGUGUGGGAAGACGGUCCUCUGGAUUGUAAACCACUGUCCUCAGGGACGAAGAUGCCGGUACCUGGGGAGUAAGCUCCGGCUAACUACGUGCCAGCAGCCGCGGUAAUACGUAGGGAGCGAGCGUUGUCCGGAAUUACUGGGUGUAAAGGGAGCGUAGGCGGGACUGCAAGUUGGGUGUCAAAUCUACCGGCUCAACCGGUAGCCGCACUCAAAACUGCAGUUCUUGAGUGAAGUAGAGGCAGGCGGAAUGCCUAGUGUAGCGGUGAAAUGCGUAGAUAUUAGGAGGAACACCAGUGGCGAAGGCGGCCUGCUGGGCUUUUACUGACGCUGAGGCUCGAAAGUGUGGGGAGCAAACAGGAUUAGAUACCCUUGUAGUC
rnacentral:rRNA from 1 species